UUAGGUAGCUGAAGAAAAAUCAGAGUUCAGAGCAAUUACCUAUUGGAAUUAUUGGAAUUAUUGGAAUUGUUGCCUCUGCAUCCUUGUCUUCGAUUUCAACAAUCAUCAGGACACAUCUCCGCCUCGAAGUUUGAGAAUUUGGUGAAAAAUCAGGGGAACUGGCUUGCAGAUUGUUGAACGACGAACUGAUGCUUUAAAAUCCAUAUGAUUGUUUUACAACUAGACCUUACCCCAGAUUGAUUAAGUUCAUCAAAUUUUAUUUGAUCAACUAAAUCGUUUGACAUGUGCCUGUUCCCUCAGUCUAGUCAAGUGAUCAGAAGCAUAUUCAUCACUUGAUAAGACUAGUUCCCUGUAUUGGAACUGCAUUGGAUCUUUCAAAACCAACAACUCAAGACUUUACAUUCAAGUCAAUACAAAUCAGACAGAACAUUGCACCAGACUAUUGUUCAAGCACAACAAAGGUUCAUCUUUAUCACUUGUCAAUUAUGACGAGGGUCGCACGCCACGAGCCUUAAGUAGUAGAGAAGGAAUGAGAUGGAGAAUUUCUACCCUCAUUCUGAAUAUCUUGGGUACAAGAAGAAUGACCCAGUUGCUUAGAGUAUUCACCUAUACUCAUAGACUUUAGUGAAAUUCAAAUCAAAUAAUUGUCAAGUCUUUUUCCCCACAAGCAACACUUUAUCAUCAUGAGCAACAAAAAGAUCUUUCUUCAACACUUGCCAAUUAUGAUGGGAUUACACGCCACGAACCUUAAGCAGUAGAGAAGGAAUGAGAAAGAGAAUUUAUAU